CACAGCUCUUCUGGACCCACCUGUUCCUGCCGUCAGCACUGGACCCUGGUCAUCACCUCAGAGACAAGGAAGCACUCACCUGAGCCGACUCCCUCCUCCUGGCGUCCUUCCCCACUCACCUGUUGCUGCUUCAGGCCAUCCACCAUCUGGCCCGAAGCACGCUGCUCCAAACCCUGGCUGCCACCACUGUGAACCACUUCUGAGCGUUCCCAGUAUAAUUCAUACUUGUUUUGUUAUGGAUCUGAGGAACCUGGACGAGUAUCCUCUGGGACAAAGGGCACCGAAAAGAACACAGCCACACACAAUCUGGUGCUACCUGAAGGAGGCAGUAUAGAUGAAAGUGUAAAACAACAGAAAAACUGCAACUCUCCAACAUUUCUUGACUUCCCUUCAAGUCCCUGUCUAAGUUCCCUCCAGAAUCCAUUUUACAGCUUCAUAGGGACAGAAGACGUGGAGCCGGUGGAUGACAGAUUACUCCAGGUCUAGGUCUUCAGAAAGCCAUCUUCAAUAAAGCAUCAAAUGAAACUUUGAUGGCGGUGCUGAGAAAAACAUGAACUGUUCUAUGCUGCUCUGUGAAAUCUGGCCUUUAAAACAUUAUCUCUGAUGUUCUUGGUCCAGAAUGUAGACGUCUAUAGAUGGAAGUUAAGCCCAGUAUGCUGCUGGCUGUAAAACUGUAAAUAACAGCAGGAACAUGGUCCAGGUUGUUCAUCAGUCACAGUGAUGUGACAGUUUAUGGAUCCAGUGACAGAAAUGUAUCCGGGACCUUGACUCUGUCAGCUGUUUUUGAAAUGUGUACAUGUUGAUAAAUCUAAACACUAAUGUUGGAUCAACAUGAAGCCUGCUGUAACAUGUAUUUUAAAGGCAUCACUGGUGAGAUUUACCCCUUUUCUUUCAUAAUAUGAUAAAAGUAAUGCAAAUAGGAAAAACCUUUGAUUAAAAGGCAGAGCUUUGUUGUUUUCCAUGCAUUUAUUAAACGUAUGGAGUGAUUCGUGACUGUCUGAGGAUCACAUGGAUUCAAGACGUUACAAAAGCACAACCCAGC
ensembl:lncRNA